GUUUGUUUAGGAUUAGUGCACAUACAUGUUGCGAUUAACUCGAGCUACACGCGGUGGCCGCUGCGAGACACGGAAGAUUUCCCCCCCUUGAUGGAGAUUUCAAGGAGACGCGGGACGAUCGAGGAUCGAAUUAGAGAUGUCAGCAACGGUUCACGAAGUUUCCUUCGAUAACGCCCAACUCUAGACAGCGAGUAGGUGACACACACAGACACACACAGAUAGGGUCUCUGGGAGAGAAAGGACGGGGAACAGAAAGAGCGGAGCACACGAAGGUUGUCAGAAGAGAAAGGAAAGGAAUAGAGAGAUGGGAUUGGAAUAAAAGAGUGACCGAGGGGUGGAAGGAAGGCAGGAACAAUAGAGGAGGAACUGUGCGCGCGGCGCGGCGGUCGAGUAAAAGAAGCCGGCUCUCCGUGAAUCGCGACGUGAAUUUUCACCGGCGAUCGAUCAGCCGGAAAAACGGGAGCAGACAGACAGGCAGAGAGAUAGCGUAAACAGGGGUGGAAACGUCGAGGAGGGCGAAGCUGCAAAGGGGUGAAAAAGCUGAGGCGCGCAAAGGACUCGGGCAGGAGAGGAGGAAGUCGCAUUUUAAAGUGAAAUACGAUUCUAGAGAGUGGUGGGAACGGUCGCGCGGCGGAGGCCAGAGGUGAGCGCGAAAAAGGGAAAGCAGGAAAAAACAAAGCGGCGAAGGAAAGGAAGAAGAAAGAGUUGUGCGGAACGGCGACUGGAGGACGGAAGAGAAAAAGGGGUGCGAAGCCGAGCAAAGCUUACAC